rnacentral:tRNA from 1 species
UGCCUAGAUAGCUCAGUCGGUAGAGCAGGGGACUGAAAAUCCCCGUGUCGGUGGUUCGAUUCCGCCUCUAGGCACCAU